rfam:Picea glauca, whole genome shotgun sequence.
GACCCGAACUUGGGUGAUCUAUCCAUGACCAAGAUGAAGCUUGGGUGAAACUAAGUGGAGGUCUGAACCGACUGAUGUUGAAAAAUCAGCGGAUGAGUCGUGGUUAGGGGUGAAAUUCCACUUGAACCCAGAGCUAGCUGG